UAGAGUGAAAAAUAUCUAAGGAAAGAUAGCUUGUUGUCACCACUAUACAUUUUAAUGGUGGAUUCCUUAAGUAGACGAUUAUAUCAAGAGUAGAUAGUUGAAAACUUAUAGGGAAUUUCAAGGGGAGUCCCAUUGUUUAAUUAAAACUACUAUGGACAAGGGGAAUCUAAGAGUUUAAUUAAAAUAAUACAUUGUGAUGGUCCUGCAGAUGCUGAAGCAAUUUUAUUUAUUCCCAUUAAUUUGCAUGUCAAAGUGAAUAAAUUCAAACAAGCAUGGGUAAAUGACGGAAGUAACUAUGACUCUCUUAAGGUAGUCAAAUGCUUCCUCAUCUAAUUAGUGACACACAUGAAUGGAUUAACAAGAUUCCCACUUUCCCUAGCUAUUAUCUAGAGAAAACACAUCCAAGGGAAUGGGAUUGG
rnacentral:ncRNA from 1 species